GACGAACGCUGGCGGCGUGCUUAACACAUGCAAGUCGAACGGAAAGGCCCUGCUUUUGUGGGGUGCUCGAGUGGCGAACGGGUGAGUAACACGUGAGUAACCUGCCCUUGACUUUGGGAUAACUUCAGGAAACUGGGGCUAAUACCGGAUAGGAGCUCCUGCUGCAUGGUGGGGGUUGGAAAGUUUCGGCGGUUGGGGAUGGACUCGCGGCUUAUCAGCUUGUUGGUGGGGUAGUGGCUUACCAAGGCUUUGACGGGUAGCCGGCCUGAGAGGGUGACCGGCCACAUUGGGACUGAGAUACGGCCCAGACUCCUCCGGGAGGCAGCAGUGGGGAAUAUUGCACAAUGGGCGGAAGCCUGAUGCAGCAACGCCGCGUGCGGGAUGACGGCCUUCGGGUUGUAAACCGCUUUCGCCUGUGACGAAGCGUGAGUGACAGUAAUGGGUAAAGAAGCACCGGCUAACUACGUG
rnacentral:rRNA from 1 species